AGCCGAAACGGGGGCAAGCUCCCCGUCCUCCGCGGGAUCGCCUCCCGGAGCUGAUGAUGGCAGGCGGAA
rnacentral:hammerhead_ribozyme from 1 species